rnacentral:rRNA from 1 species
GAUGAACGCUGGCGGCGUGCUUAACACAUGCAAGUCGAACGAAGCACUUUAUUCGCUUUUCUUCGGAGACGAAGGUUUAGUGACUGAGUGGCGGACGGGUGAGUAACGCGUGGAUAACCUGCCCCACACUUGGGGACAACCGUUAGAAAUGACUGCUAAUACCGCAUAAGCCCACCGUACCGCCUGGUAUGGUGUGAAAAACUCCGGUGGUGUGAGGUGGAUCCGCGUUUGAUUAGCCAGUGGGCGGGGUAACGGCCCACCAAAGCGACGAUCAAUAGCCGACCUGAGAGGGUGACCGGCCACAUUGGGACUGGGACACGGCCCAAACUCCUACGGGAGGCAGCAGUGGGGAAUAUUGCGCAAUGGGGGAAACCCUGACGCAGCGACGCCGCGUGAGCGAUGAAGUAUUUCGGUAUGUAAAGCUCUAUCAGCAGGGAAGAAUAAAUGACGGUACCUGACUAAGAAGCCCCGGCUAACUACGUGCCAGCCGCCGCAGUAA